rnacentral:rRNA from 1 species
AAGAAAGUAAUUAAGGGCACACGGGGGAUGCCUAGGCUCCCAGAGGCGAAGAAGGACGCGACAAGCUGCGAUAAACCGCGGGGAUCGG